GACGAACGCUGGCGGCGUGCUUAACACAUGCAAGUCGAACGGAAAGGCCCUGCUUUUGUGGGGUGCUUGAGUGGCGAACGGGUGAGUAACACGAGAGUAACCUGCCCUUGACUUUGGGAUAACUUCAGGAAACUGGGGCUAAUACCGGAUAGGAGCUCCUGCUGCAUGGUGGGGGUUGGAAAGUUUCGGCGGUUGGGGAUGGACUCGCGGCUUAUCAGCUUGUUGGUGGGGUAGUGGCUUACCAAGGCUUUGACGGGUAGCCGGCCUGAGAGGGUGACCGGCCACAUUGGGACUGAGAUACGGCCCAGACUCCUACGGGAGGCAGCAGUGGGGAAUAUUGCACAAUGGGCGGAAGCCUGAUGCAGCAACGCCGCGUGCGGGAUGACGGCCUUCGGGUUGUAAACCGCUUUCGCCUGUGACGAAGCGUGAGUGACGGUAAUGGGUAAAGAAGCACCGGCUAACUACGUG
rnacentral:rRNA from 1 species